ensembl:lncRNA
CUCAUUAAGCUACCAUGGCAAUGCCGAAUGGAUGGAGGGAGAGAUUUGGGAGGGAGAGGAGGGAGGGAGGAAGAGAGAGACUGGGAGAGAGAGAGAGGGGGGAAGAGAGAGACAGAGACAGAGAGAGAGAAAGACAGAGAGAGACUGUGGAGGGUGGUAUAUGGUGGUAUAGGGUGGUAUAGGGUGGUAUAUGGUGGUAUAUGGUGAUAUAGGGUGGUAUAGGGUGGUAUAUGGUGGUAUAUGGUGGUAUAGGGUGGUAUAUGGGUGGUAUAUGGUGGUAUAGGGUGGUAUAUGGUGGUAUAGGGUGGUAUAGGGUGGUAUAUGGUGGUAUAGGGUGGUAUAGGGUGGUAUAGGGUUGUAUAUGGUGGUAUAGGGUGGUAUAUGGUGGUAUAGGGUGGUAUAGGGUGGUAUAGGGUGGUAUAUGGUGGUAUAGGGUGGUAUAGGGUGAUAUAGGGUGGUAUAGGGUGGUAUAUGGUGGUAUAUGGUGGUAUAGGGUGGUAUAUGGU